CCUACGGGAGGCAGCAGUGAGGAAUAUUGGGCAAUGGCCGGAAGGCUGAACCAGCCAUGCCGCGUGAAGGUCAGUGCCCUAUGGGCGUUAAACUUCUUUUGUGCGGGAGCAAUAAUGGUCACGUGUGGCCAGACGAGAGUACCGGACGAAUAAGCAUCGGCUAACUCCGUGCCAGCAGCAGCGGUAAUAUGGGGGAUGCAAUCGUUAGCCGGAUUUAUUGGGUUUAAAGGGUGCGUAGGCUGGGAGGUAAGUCAGCGGUGAAAUGCCCCCGCUCAACGGGGUGAAGUGCAGUUGAUACUGCCUUGCUGGAAUGCGGAUGACGUGGGAGGAAUGUGUGGUGUAGCGGUGAAAUGCAUAGAUAUCACACAGAACACCGAUUGCGAAGGCAUCUCACGAAUCCGCGAUUGACGCUGAUGCACGAAAGCGUGGGUAUCAAACAGGAUUAGAUACCCCUGUAGUC
rnacentral:rRNA from 1 species